rnacentral:lncRNA from 1 species
UUUUUGAUUAAAGCAAUGAAAAAUAUUUCUAAGUUUUCGUGUUUAGUCAAUCUUUAAGCCUCUAAGUUCAUCUCUUGAUAAGAUGCCAUUCUGUGAGUGAUCUUUAUGUCUUGUUCUUUAUGAUUUUUUGUGUUCACGGUCGCUUACGAGUGUUUGUAGUUUUCUGCUGCAAGAAUAAUAUGAUUUCAGAAAUGAUUUGUAUUUGCUUGAUUUUCUUGCUGUAAGAUUAUUUUUUAUUCUAUGAAUCAAGACGUCAAUUUUUCUGUUAAACUUUUGGUUGGCAAAUAGAUGCAAUGCGUAUUAUAUGCAUAGUAACUGGCUUCCUGCUUUAGAAUUGCAAACUUCUUACUUUUUUAAGGAAGUCCUCUUUUCGUCGAUCUUUUUUCUCUAGUUCAGCUGCACAGAAUCGUUCAUUUAUUUAUAUUAGUCUGAGCUUUUAGGCUUUGAUACUGCUUCAAUCACCUUUUGAAAUAAAUUUUAGCUAUGCUAUUUGCAAUUAAAGUUCAUCUUUUCCUGGUGCUUUUUAAUGUAGUCUGAAAUCUUAAUUCAUUAUUAUUUGGAUGUGUUUAUAUUUUGGUUUGGUAUAAAUUGCUGUGAAUAGUAGGAGCGUAAGAAUAAAAGAUGGGAAUUUAAUAAAUGGUGAUUGCAAAGUUUAGUCACUUUGUUGUCAUUGUCAGUUUCAGUUUCAGUUUCCUGUUAGUUGUUUGGUCACCUUUUUCUUUAUUCAUAGUUUUACCACUUUCUUUUAAAGAUUUGGUAUAACAGGAAAGCAUUUCGAGCAGAGCGUAAUGACAUUUCUGCGCGCGCGUGUGUAUGUCUCAAGCAUUGAAAUUAAUAUUGUUAUAUAUCUUUAUUAUUUCUGCUAUGCUUGUGCUUUGAAAAAAUUUAUCAACUGUAUGCCGUAUUUAUCCUUGUUGACUGCAAAUAGUCGGAGCAAAUAGUGAUGAGUCAGUGAGUUCGA